UGGCCUACGGGCGGCUGCAGUGGGGAAUAUUGGACAAUGGGCGCAAGCCUGAUCCAGCCAUGCCGCGUGGAUGAUGAAGGCCUUAGGGUUGUAAAGUCCUUUUAACGGGGAAGAUAAUGACGGUACCCGUAGAAUAAGCCCCGGCUAACUUCGUGCCAGCAGCCGCGGUAAUACGAAGGGGGCUAGCGUUGCUCGGAAUCACUGGGCGUAAAGCGCACGUAGGCGGCUUUCUAAGUCAGGGGUGAAAUCCUGGAGCUCAACUCCAGAACUGCCUUUGAUACUGGAGAGCUUGAGUUCGGGAGAGGUGAGUGGAACUGCGAGUGUAGAGGUGAAAUUCGUAGAUAUUCGCAAGAACACCAGUGGCGAAGGCGGCUCACUGGCCCGAUACUGACGCUGAGGUGCGAAAGCGUGGGGAGCAAACAGGAUUAGAUACCCGGGUAGUCCAC
rnacentral:rRNA from 1 species